rnacentral:lncRNA from 1 species
CCUUUUUCCAGCCGUUCUGCUUUCAAAAUCCGGAAACUUUUCUAUGAUAUACGUAACACUAUAUUUGAACAAUAUUUUAAAGCCAAUUUGCGCACUUUUUCAGCGAGUUUAAUGCGGUUUUUCCUAUUCUUAUUGCAGCGCGGUCGCAGCACGACGAUGAAAAGGAGAAGAAGAAGAACGGUCGUUUGUUACGAUAGGGUGGCGGGGAGGGAGGAAGGAAGGAGGCAGUGUGACCGCGGAGUUAUCGAUCAAGUAUACCGUCUGACCCUCUGAAAUAUACUGAAGCACCUUUCCAUUUCCGUUAGUAUGCCGAGGAAAAUCAUGUUUCCCGAUUUUUGAUAUUCUUUUUAAUAUUACCAGCAAACUAAGACUCCCAGCUCUGAUAUAAUAGUUUUCUCCGAUAGCUGAAUUAAUUUUCUGUAUGCUAGAGUCUUUGCUAGUUAGUUAUUUAAAAAAGAAAAUUCAAUAUCGCGGAAUUUGAUAUCCGAUGUCGAUGUUGCAUUGUGCUAUAACUUGUUGAGUAUCUUCUUGUCUUCCAGUAUUUUUCUUAACGCGUGAGGUAUUGGCAUUUAACCAUCACAUCAAAUAUUAAUUCGUGAUCAGCAUCAAAAUCGAAAAUGUCUCCCAAAAACGUUUGAAUGGCACGCAAAUGGAAUGUGUACUGUGCCUGUUGGGGUCUGUAACAGAUGUUCAGUUCGAGGAGUCCGAGGAGGAAAGCGAGAGAUGCGCUUUGAUGACAGAGAAUGUGAGUAUACAAGCGGUACACAUUUAUGGGUAUUCUGAUGUGUGUUUCUUACUCCACAGUUAGCCAAUGAAGAUGCUGUCCAUGUCUAAGCCAACACCAAUUUGUAUUGCCGUUGGCCACGCUUUCUUUGACUUCAACUUUGUCUGCUCCCAAAUUGGGCGAUUCGAAGCAGGCACUGGGCUUGCGUGAGAGGCUGCAGAGAUGAAACUCGCCUAGAUGGUUGAGAGAGGAUUCGUCAAUCGUCGCAAUGAGAAGGUCAGGUGUAUAUUUACACUUCCAGCAGCUCUCCCUUUACCUGUUCUCAAUUUGUGUUUUCAGGCAAUCGAAACCGUUUUCGUUUUCAUAGAGCUGAAUGAUGAGGAUUGAAAGCUUCCGCUGCACCACUCCAAUACACAGAUGGCCGAUAGGGCCAGGUACUGCAAUCUGAAACAUUCCAACGCAGAUGAUCGAUGAAGCCUGGCGGGUCGUUCUUUUGGGCAAACCAGACUAUAGUUUGUAUGACAUGAGCAACUCCUACCUACUAUCAGGCUAACAUACUCCUCAACGAAAGGGACUAUUUCCAAUCUAAGAAUGAGAGCACAUCCGAUUAGGUUAAGAUUAGCAUAACAAAUAUUUCCACAAAUUUUGUAAACAGGUAAUGAACCAAGUUUUGUAAAAAAAAACGUGUAGCAUACUUUCAGGCCGCUCAGGUAAAG